UUUCCGUAGGUGAACCUGCGGAAGGAUCAUUAUUGAAUAAACCUGAUGUGGUUGUAGCUGGCCCUUUCGGGAGCAUGUGCACACCCGUCGUCUUUAUCUUUCCACCUGUGCGCCUUUUGUAGACCUGGAUGUAACACUUUCCGAGGCAACUCGGUCGGGAGGAAUGCUGUCAGCUUUCCUUGAAUGUCCAGGCCUAUGUUUUCAUAUACCCCAAAGAAUGUAACAGAAUGUAUUAUUGGGCCUUGUGCCUAUAAACUAUAUACAACUUUCAGCAACGGAUCUCUUGGCUCUC
rnacentral:misc_RNA from 1 species